rnacentral:rRNA from 1 species
GGGUUGUGAGGUUAAGCGACUAAGCGUACACGGUGGAUGCCCUGGCAGUCAGAGGCGAUGAAGGACGUGCUAAUCUGCGAUAAGCGUCGGUAAGGUGAUAUGAACCGUUAUAACCGGCGAUUUCCGAAUGGGGAAACCCAGUGUGUUUCGACACACUAUCAUUAACUGAAUCCAUAGGUUAAUGAGGCGAACCGGGGGAACUGAAACAUCUAAGUACCCCGAGGAAAAGAAAUCAACCGAGAUUCCCCCAGUAGCGGCGAGCGAACGGGGAGCAGCCCAGAGCCUGAAUCAGUGUGUGUGUUAGUGGAAGCGUCUGGAAAGGCGCGCGAUACAGGGUGACAGCCCCGUACACAAAAAUGCACAUGCUGUGAGCUCGAUGAGUAGGGCGGGACACGUGGUAUCCUGUCUGAAUAUGGGGGGACCAUCCUCCAAGGCUAAAUACUCCUGACUGACCGAUAGUGAACCAGUACCGUGAGGGAAAGGCGAAAAGAACCCCGGCGAGGGGAGUGAAAAAGAACCUGAAACCGUGUACGUACAAGCAGUGGGAGCACGCUUAGGCGUGUGACUGCGUACCUUUUGUAUAAUGGGUCAGCGACUUAUAUUCUGUAGCAAGGUUAACCGAAUAGGGGAGCCGAAGGGAAACCGAGUCUUAACUGGGCGUUAAGUUGCAGGGUAUAGACCCGAAACCCGGUGAUCUAGCCAUGGGCAGGUUGAAGGUUGGGUAACACUAACUGGAGGACCGAACCGACUAAUGUUGAAAAAUUAGCGGAUGACUUGUGGCUGGGGGUGAAAGGCCAAUCAAACCGGGAGAUAGCUGGUUCUCCCCGAAAGCUAUUUAGGUAGCGCCUCGUGAAUUCAUCUCCGGGGGUAGAGCACUGUUUCGGCAAGGGGGUCAUCCCGACUUACCAACCCGAUGCAAACUGCGAAUACCGGAGAAUGUUAUCACGGGAGACACACGGCGGGUGCUAACGUCCGUCGUGAAGAGGGAAACAACCCAGACCGCCAGCUAAGGUCCCAAAGUCAUGGUUAAGUGGGAAACGAUGUGGGAAGGCCCAGACAGCCAGGAUGUUGGCUUAGAAGCAGCCAUCAUUUAAAGAAAGCGUAAUAGCUCACUGGUCGAGUCGGCCUGCGCGGAAGAUGUAACGGGGCUAAACCAUGCACCGAAGCUGCGGCAGCGACACUUAUGUGUUGUUGGGUAGGGGAGCGUUCUGUAAGCCUGUGAAGGUGUGCUGUGAGGCAUGCUGGAGGUAUCAGAAGUGCGAAUGCUGACAUAAGUAACGAUAAAGCGGGUGAAAAGCCCGCUCGCCGGAAGACCAAGGGUUCCUGUCCAACGUUAAUCGGGGCAGGGUGAGUCGACCCCUAAGGCGAGGCCGAAAGGCGUAGUCGAUGGGAAACAGGUUAAUAUUCCUGUACUUGGUGUUACUGCGAAGGGGGGACGGAGAAGGCUAUGUUGGCCGGGCGACGGUUGUCCCGGUUUAAGCGUGUAGGCUGGUUUUCCAGGCAAAUCCGGAAAAUCAAGGCUGAGGCGUGAUGACGAGGCACUACGGUGCUGAAGCAACAAAUGCCCUGCUUCCAGGAAAAGCCUCUAAGCAUCAGGUAACAUCAAAUCGUACCCCAAACCGACACAGGUGGUCAGGUAGAGAAUACCAAGGCGCUUGAGAGAACUCGGGUGAAGGAACUAGGCAAAAUGGUGCCGUAACUUCGGGAGAAGGCACGCUGAUAUGUAGGUGAAGCGACUUGCUCGUGGAGCUGAAAUCAGUCGAAGAUACCAGCUGGCUGCAACUGUUUAUUAAAAACACAGCACUGUGCAAACACGAAAGUGGACGUAUACGGUGUGACGCCUGCCCGGUGCCGGAAGGUUAAUUGAUGGGGUUAGCGCAAGCGAAGCUCUUGAUCGAAGCCCCGGUAAACGGCGGCCGUAACUAUAACGGUCCUAAGGUAGCGAAAUUCCUUGUCGGGUAAGUUCCGACCUGCACGAAUGGCGUAAUGAUGGCCAGGCUGUCUCCACCCGAGACUCAGUGAAAUUGAACUCGCUGUGAAGAUGCAGUGUACCCGCGGCAAGACGGAAAGACCCCGUGAACCUUUACUAUAGCUUGACACUGAACAUUGAGCCUUGAUGUGUAGGAUAGGUGGGAGGCUUAGAAGUGUGGACGCCAGUCUGCAUGGAGCCGACCUUGAAAUACCACCCUUUAAUGUUUGAUGUUCUAACGUUGACCCGUAAUCCGGGUUGCGGACAGUGUCUGGUGGGUAGUUUGACUGGGGCGGUCUCCUCCUAAAGAGUAACGGAGGAGCACGAAGGUUGGCUAAUCCUGGUCGGACAUCAGGAGGUUAGUGCAAUGGCAUAAGCCAGCUUGACUGCGAGCGUGACGGCGCGAGCAGGUGCGAAAGCAGGUCAUAGUGAUCCGGUGGUUCUGAAUGGAAGGGCCAUCGCUCAACGGAUAAAAGGUACUCCGGGGAUAACAGGCUGAUACCGCCCAAGAGUUCAUAUCGACGGCGGUGUUUGGCACCUCGAUGUCGGCUCAUCACAUCCUGGGGCUGAAGUAGGUCCCAAGGGUAUGGCUGUUCGCCAUUUAAAGUGGUACGCGAGCUGGGUUUAGAACGUCGUGAGACAGUUCGGUCCCUAUCUGCCGUGGGCGCUGGAGAACUGAGGGGGGCUGCUCCUAGUACGAGAGGACCGGAGUGGACGCAUCACUGGUGUUCGGGUUGUCAUGCCAAUGGCACUGCCCGGUAGCUAAAUGCGGAAGAGAUAAGUGCUGAAAGCAUCUAAGCACGAAACUUGCCCCGAGAUGAGUUCUCCCUGACUCCUUGAGAGUCCUGAAGGAACGUUGAAGACGACGACGUUGAUAGGCCGGGUGUGUAAGCGCAGCGAUGCGUUGAGCUAACCGGUACUAAUGAACCGUGAGGCUUAACCUUACAACGCCGAAG